rnacentral:snRNA from 1 species
GUGCUCGCUUCGGCAGCACAUAUAUUAAGA